rnacentral:misc_RNA from 1 species
GAAAUGCGAUAAGUAGUGUGAAUUGCAGAAUUUAGCGAAUCAUCGAAUCUUUGAACGCACAUUGCGCCCCUUGGUAUUCCAUGGGGCAUGCCUGUUCGAGCGUCAUUUCAACCCUCAAGCACUGCUUGGUGUUGGGCGUUUGUCCCGCCUACGCGCGUGGACUCGCCUCAAAGUCAUUGGCGGCUGUUCCCCUUCGGCUCGUAAGCGCAGCACAGUCGGCGCCCGGAGCUCUGGUGGGAUGGCGUCCAGCAAGCUAUAUUUUCAAGCUUGACCUCGGAUCAGGUAGGGAUACCCGCUGAACUUAAGC